CCUACGGGAGGCAGCAGUGGGGAAUAUUGCACAAUGGGCGAAAGCCUGAUGCAGCGACGCCGCGUGAGGGAUGACGGCCUUCGGGUUGUAAACCUCUUUCAGCAGGGAAGAAGCGAAAGUGACGGUACCUGCAGAAGAAGCACCGGCUAACUACGUGCCAGCAGCCGCGGUAAUACGUAGGGUGCGAGCGUUGUCCGGAAUUAUUGGGCGUAAAGAGCUUGUAGGCGGUUUGUCGCGUCUGCUGUGAAAUUUCGGGGCUCAACCCCGAACUUGCAGUGGGUACGGGCAGACUAGAGUGUGGUAGGGGAGACUGGAAUUCCUGGUGUAGCGGUGAAAUGCGCAGAUAUCAGGAGGAACACCGAUGGCGAAGGCAGGUCUCUGGGCCACUACUGACGCUGAGAAGCGAAAGCAUGGGGAGCGAACAGGAUUAGAUACCCUUG
rnacentral:rRNA from 1 species